CCUACGGGUGGCAGCAGUGGGGAAUCUUCCACAAUGGGGGAAACCCUGAUGCAGCGACGCCGCGUGAGUGAAGGAGUACUUCGUUAUGUAAAGCUCUAGCAGCAGGGAAGAAAAUGACGGUACCUGAGUAAGAAGCCCCGGCUAACUACGUGCCAGCAGCCGCGGUAAUACGUAGGGGGCAAGCGUUGUCCGGAUUUACGGGGUGGAAAGGGAGCGUAGACGGCAGUGCAAGUCUGGAGUGAAAGGGGGGGGCUCAACCCCCGGACUGCUCUGGAAACUGUACGGCUGGAGGGCAGGAGAGGUAAGUGGAAUUCCUAGUGUAGCGGUGAAAUGCGUAGAUAUUAGGAGGAACACCAGUGGCGAAGGCGGCUUACUGGACUGUAACUGACGCUGAGGCUCGAAAGCGUGGGGAGCAAACAGGAUUAGAUACCCCUGUAGUC
rnacentral:rRNA from 1 species